CACAACCUCCUUGAGUGAGCGA
rnacentral:miRNA from 7 species